rnacentral:misc_RNA from 1 species
GAUGAAGAACGCAGUGAAAUGCGAUAACUAGUGUGAAUUGCAGAAUUCCGUGAAUCAUCGAGUCUUUGAACGCACAUUGCGCCCCCUGGUAUUCCGGGGGGCAUGCCUGUCCGAGCGUCAUUGCUGCCCAUCAAGCACGGCUUGUGUGUUGGGUCGUCGUCCCCUCUCCGGGGGGGACGGGCCCCAAAGGCAGUGGCGGCACCGCGUCCGAUCCUCGAGCGUAUGGGGCUUUGUCACCCGCUCUGUAGGCCCGGCCGGCGCUUGCCGAACGCAAAUCAAUCUUUUUCCAGGUUGACCUCGGAUCAGGUAGGGAUACCCGCUGAACUUAAGCAUAUCAAUAAGCGGAGGA